rnacentral:rRNA from 1 species
UACGAAGGGGGCUAGCGUUGCUCGGAAUUACUGGGCGUAAAGGGUGCGUAGGCGGUCGGGUAAGUCUGACGUGAAAUCUCCGGGCCUAACCCGGAAACUGCGUUGGAAACUGCCUGGCUAGAGGAAUGGAGGGGAGACUGGAAUACUUGGUGUAGCAGUGAAAUGCGUAGAUAUCAAGUGGAACACCAGUGGCGAAGGCGAGUCUCUGGACAUUUCCUGACGCUGAGGCACGAAGGCCAGGGGAGCAAACGGG